UGCUCCAGAAUAGCUCUUGGAAACGGGUGGUAAUGCUGGAUGCUCCAACUUGACGCAUGUCUUGUUGGAAAGUGUUUAGUGGCAUGGGAUGGGGUCGCGUCCUAUCAGCUUGUAGGCGGGGUAAUGGCCCACCUAGGCUUCGACGGGUAGCCGGCCUGAGAGGGCGGACGGCCACAUUGGGACUGAGAUACGGCCCAGACUCCUACGGGAGGCAGCAGGC
rnacentral:rRNA from 1 species